rnacentral:rRNA from 1 species
GGAGGAAAAGAAACUAACAAGGAUUCCCCUAGUAACUGCGAGUGAACCGGGAAAAGCUCAAAUUUUGAAUCUGGCGGUCUUUACGGUCGUCCGAGUUGUAAUCUAGAGAAGCGUCUUCCGCGCUGGACCGUGUAUAAGUUUCCUGGAAUGGAACGUCGUAGAGGGUGACAAUCCCGUCUUUGACACGGACUCCCAGGGCUAUGUGAUGCGCUCUCGACGAGUCGAGUUGUUUGGGAAUGCAGCUCAAAUAGGGUGGUAAAUUCCAUCUAAAGCUAAAUACAGGCGAGAGACCGAUAGCGAACAAGUACCGUGAGGGAAAGAUGAAAAGAACUUUGGAAAGAGAGUUAAACAGUACGUGAAAUUGCUGAAAGGGAAACGCUUGAUGUCAGUCGCGUCGGCCGGGGAUCAGCCUUGCUCUUUUGCUCGGCGUACUUCCUGGUCGACGGGUCAGCAUCGGUUUCGAUCGUCGGAGAAUGGCUCGAGGAAUGUGGCACUCUUCGGAGUGUGUUAUAGACUCGGGUCGAAUACGACGCUCGGGACCGAGGAACUCAGCACGACCUUCACCGGUUCGGAGCUUCGGCUCACGUUAACGUGCUUAGGAUGCUGGCAUAAUGGCCUUAAGCGACCCGU